GGGUGAGUUGGAUAUAAGAAAAGUGGCUAGACUAACAGAGACAACGGGCCAAAGGCCUAGUGGUUCGUUUUAAUAGUGAUCCAAAUCCGGCUAAGCCCAACAUCAGCAAAAAAAUCGAAUGGUGGAUGAAUGCUUUUUGCGACGAGUGUAUUAAAGCAAAUAUCAUUUCAGAGCCGACAUAUCAAUUUUCAUCAAAUAUCAAAAGGCUUAUAGUCUGUUGGUAUCAAAGUGUUUUUAUUAAAUGUUAUUUUCUCUUAACUGCUUGCAGAUUUUAGUCCCUUGAUGGACAUAAAUGUUCAAAAGUAAGUUUACAAGGUGUGUGUAUGAGUUAUCUCUUCUAAAGAAAAUCCUAUUUUCAAACUAGAAUUUUAAAUUUAAAUAACCAAUUAACGAUUAUAUAAUAAAAAUAUUAAUUUAUGAAUCACUUAUUUAAUAACGGUUUUAGGUUAAAGGUUUAAUGUUUAUGGUAAACGUGUAGCUUCUAGUUAUUAUAUAACAUCUUAAACGAGAAAGUCGGUGCUACAGUGCACCGACAAAUUUACAAAAUUGUCGUAUGUUGUUUAAUAACCAAUUAACGAUUAUAUAAUAAAAAUAUCAAUUUAUGAAUCACUUAUCCAAUGGGACCCUAGAUGAGUUGGAGGAAACCAUCGGCGUCGUACAGUGAAAGAGAAGGCAUACGACAACGAAUUUGAUGUUUGGUUGGAACGAACUGUACGACCUGAACAACGAGGCAUCACCGGAGCUUCUUAAAUAUGUAACAGUUUCUUGAAUGUAGAUGAAAUUGGUACCGGCCAUUGAUUGUCGGUCCUGGUUGAUGUCUAGCCUGUGAUACUGAAGGAGGAGCUCAGAGAGUACCAUACAACACUGAUGAUUUUGAUGCCGAUUUGUACGGUACCAUGGUUGCACACACACACUCUCUCUCUACGUGGAAAUCUCUAAAAUAUUUGUUGAUUUCUGGUGGUCGAAAUCGUGAAUGGGUGUCGUGAUGGUGUGAUUUCGGGUUGGUGGCGAAUGGUUGAUCUGUGGUGGAAGUUGCUAAAGGGAAGGUGUGGUAGGUGGUUUGGUAAAAAAGUGCUAGAGGGGUUGAAAGAGAUAAAGAGGUGGUUCCUUCAUUACUCAAAUAAGGCUGACAAGUGACAUCAUAUUUACCUUGGACACAUUUCCUUUUUGUAAUAUACAAAAAUAAAAGCCUUGUAAUCGUAUAUCACACUUUAAGAUACAAAAAGAACAACCAAUUUUUUUU
rnacentral:lncRNA from 1 species